AGCUCCAGUAGCGUACACUAAAGUUGUUGCAGUUAAAAAGCUCGUAGUUGGAUUUCUGUGAGAGCACGACGGCCUGUUGUCUCCUUUGCGAGUUCGAUAGGAUUCUGUCAGCUGCUCUCUCAUCCUGUCGCAAACUGCUCUGGUCUUAACUGUACUGGAGUCUUCAGCGAGCGACUCGAUUACUUUGAGAAAAAUAAAGUGCUCCAAGCAGGCGUCACUGCCCUGAAUAAUUUAGCAUGGGAUAAUGAUAUAGGACUUUAGUUCUAUUUUGUUGGUUGUUUGAGAACUGAAGUAAUGAUUGAUAGGGACAGAUGGGGGCGUCGGUAUUGUUGGACGAGAGGUGAAAUUUUUGGACUCCAGCAAGACCAACUACUGCGCAAGCAUUCGCCAAGCAUGUUCC
rnacentral:rRNA from 1 species